UACGGGGGGGGCAAGCGUUGUUCGGAAUUACUGGGCGUAAAGGGCGCGUAGGCGGCCCGCUAAGUCAGACGUGAAAUCCCUCGGCUCAACCGGGGAACUGCGUCUGAUACUGGCAGGCUUGAAUCCGGGAGAGGGAUGUGGAAUUCCAGGUGUAGCGGUGAAAUGCGUAGAUAUCUGGAGGAACACCGGUGGCGAAGGCGGCAUCCUGGACCGGUAUUGACGCUGAGGCGCGAAAGCGUGGGGAGCAAACAGG
rnacentral:rRNA from 1 species